rnacentral:rRNA from 1 species
UACGUAGGGGGCAAGCGUUAUCCGGAUUUACUGGGUGUAAAGGGAGCGUAGACGGCAGUGCAAGUCUGAAGUGAAAGCCCCGGGCUUAACCCGGGAACUGCUUUGGAAACUGUACGGCUGGAGUGCUGGAGAGGUAAGCGGAAUUCCUAGUGUAGCGGUGAAAUGCGUAGAUAUUAGGAGGAACACCAGUGGCGAAGGCGGCUUACUGGACAGUAACUGACGUUGAGGCUCGAAAGCGUGGGGAGCAAAUAGG